GCUUCCUGCUGAAGAUAGGCAGAAUUCCGGUGUCAGCUGUGUCUGACCAGCCCCUGAGUGUGUCUUGCACACAACACUCAGCCUCCAUCCUGCUCCAGCAGGAAACAUCCCAAAAAUCUGAUCUCAAGCCUUGAACAUUAAGCAUAGCAAAAAUACAGCUCUUGAAGGCAACCUGGAUUAUUUACUGCAGAAGAAGACUGCAACACAUCAGAAAAGCCAGAAUUCUCAUUUCUGAAACGCCACUCCUCAAAGAGUGGCAGCAGUUAAGUGGUGUCUGCAUGUGUUACAUCAUCAGCUUCAUACUCCUUAUUCUACUACCAACUAAGCAGAAUCUGAAAGUGCAGCUAAUUAAACAGAACCUAAAUUCAGCAGGUUUGAAUGACUUGCACCACAGUUUUAAAAGAACAUCCUGAAACACUCUAUUAUUGAUAUCAAUUUUAAAUAUGUUGGGUACAUUGAAGUCACAGUAGCUGGAAAAAAACCUGCUGAUGUGCCAAGUAUUUUAAGAAUUAAAUAGAAAAUCCUAAGAAUGAUUUCCAAUAAAUGAGUGUGAUAAAAUUAAUCUGUAU
rnacentral:lncRNA from 1 species